AUAUAUAUAUAUUGAUAUUUUGCUUAGACUCUGUGAGGCUAAUGACCUAGUGUAGAACUCAAUAUACAUGUGCUUCAGAAUGAAGCAUUAGUUGAGUAGAGAACAGUUAUAAGAAAAUGAGAUGACAAAGGAAUAAAUGAUUAUUUCAUGAAUUUU